CGCCCCGCGCCGCUGGGCGCGUGGGAGAGAUGCUGCCUGCCAGGCGCGCCCGGGGUAGACAAGGCACGAGAAGGACACCGGCUCUCAGUGCCCCAGAGUGGGUGCUUUUCCCCUCAGACGCCUAGUCACUUGUGCGAGUGGCGCGGGGCCAGAAUACGCCUCCCGAGCAUCCGCCCUCUAUGGGACACUGGGAGCUGCGCUGGCGCGGGCGGGGAACACAAGACAAGCACUCCACCCAUCGUGACCCCAGCAUCUGCUUCUCUCUCCAGAUCCCGGCUAGGGUCCCAUGGACAGGGAGCGCAGAGCAGGUAUCACCCCAUCAUGUCGCCAGCAUCCAUUGCUCCUUGCAGACCUCCUCUCCUGUGGGCAGGGAACACCAGGAGGACAACCCUUCGAACCUGAAGUACCCAUACCCACCCUUCCUGAGCCGCCCUGCCUGCCUAGGCUGUCCGGGCUGGUCAACGUCAGCUGCUCCUGGUUCUUCCAAGUACAGAAGCUAGAAAUUCAGACCCAGCAGUGACCUCAGCUCACCACCUCUCCAGGCCGUUUCGCAGCUUGCCUGUCGCCAGGAGGCUCUUGUUUUCCGGACCUGCGUUCUUGCACAACUCGAUAAAGCAGGAAGCGGAGCUGGAGAGAGCCUAGCUAGCCUCUGCCAGGUGCCUGAUCCUAGAAGGGUGGCGCUGUGGAGACCGGGAACAUCACACUGUGAGCCAUGGUGAUGUGAAAAGGCCUCCGAGUGUCUGCAUAGUAUAGAAGGGCCUUCUGGGCAGUUGAACUUGCUGAGCUUAAACUUUUAUUUUGUGAUUGUAAAGGGAGGCAAAUCAUUAAACAACUACUAAAGGAAGACAACAACCAUCAACGUGCUACCUGGUACCUGGUUAGUGCAUGUAGCAAACGCUUGUUCCCUUGCUGGACUGUGACCUUUCCCGCCAACGCGGUUCAUAGCAGCAAUGUGAGCUGUGGGAAGGCCAGGCUUCUUAAAGACUCUUAAGCCCACUCAACUAACUACUGAAUGAGUUCAAAGAGAUAUUUGUUCCGCAUCAACUGUCCACAAAGUCGAUGAAUGUGCUCUGUAGUUAAGUACUUCUCUGUAAUAAAAUCAAGCAGACAACCGUAAGUCAGAUUACAACCUAGGGACGGUGACAUUUUGUAUUUGUUGGUAGCACUAGCUAAAGUUACAGGAAUGGACUGUGUUUGUUGUUUCCAAAUGCUCUCUCAGACUUGUCUGAACACAGGGAAGACACUCCUCUUUGUCUCGGUGGAAGACCUUUGAGUAAGCUACUCAAAGAACUGCUGGACUAGAGCUCCCGACUAGAAACGUGAAGGGCAUUUUCUAAGCAACUUUCAGAGAGGAAAUAGGUCUGUACUAGGGCAUUUGCUGCCCGAGUAAGGAGCACACAGCAUCCCCCAAGGCUGUGAACGAGCCCUUAAGUUCAGGACUGGCAAUGCCACUGAGAAGUAUCACGCCAGGCAGGGCCUGGUGGGGGUGGGAGGGGAGGGGAGGGGUGGAGGAAGUUGAUCAGAAAGAAGUUGGACUGGCUCAAGUCCUGUCCAAUCUAUUGUAAUUUCACACAUAGCCAUGAUUGUAAGCCCAUGGGUGGGAAUAGGGACUUGCCAUCUUUUUUUUUUUUUAAGAUCUUUAAUUUUAUUUAUUAUGUAUACACUGUUCUGCCUGCAUGUCAGAAGAGGGCACUAGAUCUCAUUACAGAUGGUUGUGAGCCACCGUGUGGCUGCUGGGAAUUUAACUCAGGACCGCUGGGAAAUCAGCCAGUGCUCCUAACCUCUGAGCCAUCUCUCCAGCCCUGGACUUGCCAUCUUAAGUCUUCUUUGACCCAUGGUAUACCUAGAAAAGUUAGGCUUAAUUAUUAAACAUUUAGGGAUUUUUAUUAUGUAAAUGCAUUUAUAAGUUCAUAAAUAUAUUUAUUAUAUAAGUAAAGCAUAAUUCUACUGUGCCCUAGC
ensembl:lncRNA